GCCACUGAAAAAGUGAGGAUGUAGGAGCCAAAAAAAAAGUCUGAGACCAGCCCUGCCACUUACUAGCAGGUCCCGUCAGUUUGGGCUUCUGUUUCUCACCAAUGAAAUGAAUAGGAGAAGUUCAGCUCUCAGAUCUUGCAACUCUGAGAGUCCUUUUCCCAGCUUCAGCUACCUUUCUCCUACCAAACGUGACUGGAUAGUCCUAGGACAUAUAUAAUGUAUCAUUAUAUAUGAUACUGUGGCUUUAGGGUUUAGAAUUUAUUUGAGAUGGUCUAUGGCAAUUCAUUCAUUUUACUCAUUGGAAACUGAGCCUCAGAGAGACAGAGGCAUUUGUUCAAGGUUACACUUUACAACCAGCUUGAGAAUCUGUGGGUUCUCCUGUGACCACUCACAUAGACCCUAAGAUUCCUUGGUCACAAUUUGCCAUAUGGUUGUGUGAGAACCUGUGACCCCUCACUUAGACCCUUGGAGUCCUUGAUCAUAAUUUGCCAUAGGAAGGUGCAGAAUGGUGGAUAUGGUGGGGUGGCCCUCAACAUCCACUCCAACCACCCUUCAAUCUGCCUUUCAGUACUGUAGAGGCUAGAAAGAGUAGAAUACAUGCUGUAUUAUCUCAUUAAUAUAAAGUUCAAGAGCAGGCAAAACUAAUUUAUGGUGACAAAAAUCUAGACAGUGGUUAUUGGGUAUGUGAGGGAGGUGAUGUUUGACUGCAAACAAGCAAAAAGAAACUUUCUGGGUGGUUGCAAACCCUGAUCUACAUAGUAAAAGGCAACAUUGACUUGCAGCUCCUGAGCCUGCCCCAACCAUGAAGAAUGUGGGCAUCUUGGAGUCCCCAUUAACAGGUUGACUCUGCUGCACAACUUGGGAUCAGAAAGUCUGAGUUCACCCCAGCUCUGCUGCUUGUAAGCCAGGUGAUCAAGACAACUGAUGAGAUCAUAGCUGACUGCCAGGGCAGAGGCGUGGCGAUUCCCACACCCACCGUGGAUGUCACAUCUACACAGUGUUCACAUUUCCCUUGCUGGUGCUGCUGGUGUUCCUCCAGAGCCUCUGUGCGCUGCCUACUUUCUAGAUGCUGAACAAAGUCUUCACGCUGGGAAGCCUCGUCCUCAUCCUCCAGCAUCUCCUCCAGGUUCCCUGGCCAUCCUCAUCCCCCAUCUGGGCAUGGUCCUUACCCAGAUGAGCUUGGUGAGCAGCAGCACCCUGCCCCUCAUCAUCCUGUGCCUCCUGGAGAUGACUACCUACUACUCAGAGUGCAUGAGCUCCCUCAUCAUCACCAAGGACGCCCUGAUCAGCAUCCUGGGCUUUGUGGGAUUUUUGGUGGGGACCUUCUAGGCCCUCCAUGAGCUGAUCCAGCCUCAAGACCUCUCCUCUUUCCAAACUCCACUGGCACCUUGAAACAGUGACCAAUUUUCAACUCAACAUUUCCCGCUUCACUUCCUAAACUGACAUUCUAGCAUUGUUUGAACAAAGAUCCUUCUUUAAUUGCUAAUGUGUAUAUUUAUAUGGGGCCACCACAGUGUUGGGUGGAGAGUACAGGAGUGGGGUCAGAGGAUCUGAGUUCUAUUCCUGAGAUCUACCAUUUACCCCCAUCAGAUCUGAGUGGGCCACUUCCCCUUGGGAGCCUCAACUUCACAAAUUCAGUUAAGUUCAGCCUCACCCACCUCAGAAUGUUGUCAGGAAUGUCAGGAAGAGUAUGUGCACACAUACAUUUUUAAAAGCUAAGGUGCUCUACAAAUGUUGGUGAUUUUCAUUAUUUUACUGUUUUCUCCUAUGAUGACCAGAAGAGGCAUGAACAGGACCCCUUUUUCUCCAAACCAGGCUGGACUACCUCUUGUCCCAAUGUCUUGGGAGCUGAGAAAAUAUUGAUGUGUGAUCCAGGAGACCUGGUACCACCAGGAGGCACCACCAAUGGAGGCACACUGUGGGCCAGGCAACGUACAAAAUGCAUCCCAUACGUUAUGCCACUAAAUCAUCUGCAGAACCCUGUAAGGUAGAUGAUGUCUUCUCCAUUUCACAGAAAAGGACAUCUAGGUUCCAAGAAGUUAGGGAACUAGUGCUAACUCAUACAGUUAGUAAGGGGUGGAGUCAGAUUUAAACACUGGCCUAUUUAGUACUGAACCCCUUGUUCAUAACCACUAAACCCUGUCCCUGACUCAGCUGCCUGAUUUUAGACAAGUGACUUUUCCUCUCUGAGCCUCAGUUUCCCUAGCUGUAAAAUGAGAGGGUGGACUAGAUGACCUCUGUGGACACUUUCUAAACCAUCUUUGCUCUCCCUACUUCAGAAGCUUGUUACCAAGAGUUUGGUUUCCCUGCUGAUUGGUGGGGCCAAUUGUGACUUUGUCUCCAGCCUCUGUUGCCCCCUGAACUGGCCACUUUCCCUGAGCCUGUCAAAUAGGACAGGAUUUUUGAUGUGUUUGCAAUUACUGGGCACCUUAACCAGGUGAAGAUGCUGUAUGAGCAUUAACAUCACAUCUAUAUGCCACAGGCAACAUCUUGAUUCAAUAGGAAGAGCACUGAGCAGAGGUUUAUAGAAAACUAGAUUUUAGUUCCAGGACUACUUCUAGCUAGCUGGAGACAGUGGACCUCCAGUAAUGUCCCAUCAUUGCCUUCUUAUCAUCUUUCUCUUUCUUCUGGAAACAGUGCCCUGAUUUUGCCUUGGGCAACCACCCUUUCUCCACUCUCUAAGUUGUUUUAGAGGAGCAGACUCUACCCCAACUCCAGGAAGUGAGCACAUGACCUGGGUUUGGCGAAUAAGUACAUUCAAUCCUCCUGUCCAUAAUGCUUUGUUCUGAGAUGGCCAUAUAAUCAAGGGUUCAUGAGCCCUUGGACUUUAAUCAGUGAUAUCAGGAAGAGGGUAAUCUUAAUGCUAGGGUUAAUAAACCCAGAUGAACUAACCUGGAACUGAAGUAAACAUGUUCCCAGACUGCACAGCAGAAGCAUAUAUCAAGCAGGAGAAAAUUAUGCCAAGAGAUGGAAGAAAAGCCUGUUGGUGUCCUUGGAGCUCCUGCUUCCACUGGUGCCUGAUGCAGGUUUCACCUUGUGCUUUCCAGUUACAUGGGUCAGUUCCUUUUUGCUUAAGCCACAUUCAGUUGGGUUUCCAACAUUUGCAACUGAAAGAACUCUGACUAAAUCUCUCAGUGACCUUGAGCAAGUUCAUUUACUCCUUUUAGGAUUAGUUGCCUAAUCUGAAGUGAGAGUGUUGAAACUCUAAGAUCCUUAAUAGUACAAGUAUUCUAUAAUUUAAUAGUAUAAUUAAAAUGGGAUCUCACUAGAAUUACUAUGAUCAAAGAGGCAGACAAUACCAAGAUUUGAUGAGGAUGUAGAGAAACUGGAACCCUCAUGCAUUGAUGAUGAAAAUCUAAAAUGGGACAAUCACUUUGAAAAGCAGUUUGGCAGUUUCUCAAAAAGGGAAACAUAUACAGUUGACCCUUGAACAACAUGGGUUUGAACUGUGAAGGUCUAUGUAUGGAUUUUUUAAAAUAAAUAUAUUGGAAUUUUUGGAGAUUUAUGGCCAUCUUAAAACUUGCAGAUGAACCAUGUAGCCUAGAAACAUUAAAAAAUUAAGAAAAGCUAGGUAGGUCAUGAGUGCAUAAAAUAUAUACAGAUAUUAGGUUAUUUUAUCAUUCGUUGCCAUAAAACACACAUAAAUCUAUUAUAAAAGUUAAAAUUUAUCAAAACUAGCACACACAAGUACUUACAGACCACACACGGUGCCAUUCACAGUCAAGAGAAAUGUAAACAUAAAGAUGCAGUAUUAAAUCAUAACUGCAUAAAAUUAACUAUAGUACAUACUAUACUGUUGUAAUAAUUUUGUGGAUACAUCCUGUUGCCAUUGUGGUGAGCUCAAGUGUUGCUAGUAUCAGCUUAUAAUACCAUGUGACACUAAUCAUCUCUGCAUGAGUUCAGUAGUUCAUCUCUCCAGUAAAUUGUAUGUUACAGUAAAAGUGAUCUCUUGUGGUUCUAGUGUAUUUUUCACUGUGUUUGGUGCAAUCCCAUAAAUCUUGAAUAACACCAUGGGAUCCAUACAAAGUGCCACUAGUGAUGCUGGAAGUGCUCCCAAGAAGCAAAUAAA